rnacentral:rRNA from 1 species
AUUGAACGCUGGCGGCGUGCUUUACACAUGCAAGUCGAACGGCAGCACGGGUGCUUGCACCUGGUGGCGAGUGGCGAACGGGUGAGUAAUACAUCGGAACGUACCUAUUAGUGGGGGAUAACUGGUCGAAAGAUCGGCUAAUACCGCAUAAUCUCUGAGGAGGAAAGCUGGGGAUCCUUCGGGACCUGGCGCUGAUAGAGCGGCCGAUGGUUGACUAGCUAGUUGGUGGGGUAAAAGCCUACCAAGGCGGAGAUCAAUAGCUGUUCUGAGAGGAAGAUCAGCCACACUGGGACUGAGACACGGCCCAGACUCCUACGGGAGGCAGCAGUGGGGAAUUUUGGACAAUGGGGGAAACCCUGAUCCAGCAACGCCGCGUGAAUGAAGAAGGCCUUAGGGUUGUAAAGUUCUUUUGUCUGGGAACAAAGAUUACGGAGUAAUAUACCGUGAGGAUGAGGGUACCAGAAGAAUAAGCACCGGCUAACUACGUGCCAGCCGCCGCCGUAA